UUACGACCACAUCACAUUGAAUUACCGGUCCCGUACGAUCACCAAAGUUAAGCAACGUCGAGACAGGUCAGUACCUAGAUGGGUGAACGCUUGUGAAUACUAUGUGCUGUAAG
rnacentral:rRNA from 1 species